AUUGAACGCUGGCGGCAGGCCUAACACAUGCAAGUCGAGCGGAGCGGCGGACGGGGGAGUAAUGCCUAGGAAUCUGCCUGGUAGUGGGGGAUAACGUCCGGAAACGGGCGCUGAUACCGCAUACUAUCAGAUGAGCCUAGGGCGGAUUAGCUAGUUGGUAGGGUAAAGGCCUACCAAGGCGACGAUCCGUAACUGGCCUGCGAGGAUGAUCAGUCACACUGGAACGGAGACACGGGCCAGACUCCUACGGGAGGCAGCAGUGGGGAAUAUUGCACAAUGGGCGAAAGCCUGAUACAGCCAUGCCGCGUGUGUGAAGAAGGUCUUCGGAUUGUAAAGCACUUUAAGUUGGGAGGCGGUACCAUAAGAAUAAGCACCGGCUAACUUCGUGCCAGCAGCCGCGGUAAUUC
rnacentral:rRNA from 1 species